AGAGUUUGAUUAUGGCUCAGGAUGAACGCUAGCGGCAGGCUUAAUACAUGCAAGUCGAACGGGAUUCAGGUAGCAAUACUUGAUGAGAGUGGCGCACGGGUGCGUAACACGUAUGCAACCUACCUUUAACUGGUGAAUAGCCCCGGGAAAUCGGGAUUAAUACACCAUAACAUUACAAGAGGGCAUCCUCUAAUAAUUAAAGAACUUCGGUUAAAGGUGGGCAUGCGGGACAUUAGCUAGUUGGUGAGGUAACGGCUCACCAAGGCAACGAUGUCUAGGGGUCCUGAGAGGGUUAUCCCCCACACUGGUACUGAGACACGGACCAGACUCCUACGGGAGGCAGCAGUAAGGAAUAUUGGUCAAUGGGCGCAAGCCUGAACCAGCCAUGCCGCGUGAAAAGGAAGACGGCGCUAUGCGUUGUAAACUUCUUUUGUCAGGGAAUAAAUGUAGGUACGUGUACUUACUUGAAGGUACCUGAAGAAUAAGCAUCGGCUAACUCCGUGCCAGCAGCCGC
rnacentral:rRNA from 1 species